rnacentral:lncRNA from 1 species
GGCUUGGCACCUUCGACACCGCCGGCGCGGCCUCUGCCGCCUACCUGUCCGCUUCCAGGAGCUUCGCCGAUGAAAAACGCCGGCGCCGCGGGCAGCCCGUGCCCGCUUCUUCACCAGCUUCUUCGGCAAGCGCCACCCCGACGGCCUCCUCUUCGUCGUCCACCUCGGCUGCUCCGUUCGCCCACCCGUCGCCGUCCUCCGUGCUCGAAGCCACCAAGCCUGCACUGAAGGCUGAGUCGCCGGAGCCGGUUGCAACACCUAUCCUGCCGUCCACUGAAGCUGCGCAGCUGCCGGACGACCCGGAGUUCUACCAGGACCUUCUGCGCGGGCUGCAGCUACCCGACAUCGACCCGAUGGACUUCCGCGCCGGCCUGGACGCCCUGGAUGUUUCCGAUGCGCCCUUCUGCUUGGACGACGACCAGGACCUGCUGUUCGGGGACUUCGCGGACGAGGAGCUGGAUGAGAUCGACCUCGACCUCGACGACAUCAACGACGUCUUCCCGGAGAUCCCCGGCUGCGACCUCGGCCGCGGCAUGGACGACUUCCUGCAAACCGUGGAUUUCUGCGUGUGAAUUAAGCAAGUGCCUUAGUGUUAUCGAUGUUGGUGUGAUAAAAUGGGCCUGUGAGUGCGCUUGGGAGGGGAUUUCUUGGGUUUUUUCCCCGGGCAACA